rnacentral:rRNA from 1 species
GGAAAGGCCCAGCUUGCUGGGUGCUCGAGUGGCGAACGGGUGAGUAACACGUGGGUGAUCUGCCCCUGACUUUGGGAUAAGCCUGGGAAACUGGGUCUAAUACCGGAUAUGACCUUUCGUUGCAUGACGUUUGGUGGAAAGCCUUGUGCGGUUGGGGAUGGGCCCCCGGCCUAUCACCUUGUUGGUGGGGUAAUGCCCUACCAAGGCAACAACGGGUACCCAACCUGAAAGGGUGAUCGGCCACCCUGGAACUGAAACACGGCCCAAACUCCUACGGGAGGCACCAUUGGGAAAUAUUGCACAAGGGGCCCAACCCUGAUGCACCGCCCCCCCUUGAGGAAUGACGGCCUUCGGGUUGUAAACCUCUUUCACCAGGGACAAACCUCUGGUGACGGUCCCUGAAGAAAAACCACCGGCCAACUCCUUGCCACCACCCGCGGUAUUACUUAGGGUGCAACCGUUGUCCGGAAUUACUGGGCUUAAAAACCUCGUAGGCGGUUUGCCCCGUCUCCGGUAAAAUUCUGCACCUUACCUGCAGGCUUGCAGGCAAUCCGGGCAAACUUGAUUACUACAGGG